rnacentral:piRNA from 9 species
UACCUGGUUGAUCCUGCCAGUAGCAUA